rnacentral:lncRNA from 1 species
AUUUGAAUUUUAAACUACUUCCGAAACUUUCAAAGGGGUGCAUCGAUAAUAUAUGCUGUGAAAAUUGUAUUUUUUAUUUCCUCACCAAACAUGUACGUACAUACAACACAAACAAUGAAAUUCAAAGCUUGUCGCCGUUCAACUUAAUAACAGAGUCAUAGAGAAAGAUCACGAAGCCUCCUUUCACAUUUUCCUACCUGCUUUUAUGACGUAUACGUGGAGGAGACCAUCACAGAAGUCAAAAGUUCAAGAGUACUCAUAAUGAUGCACUGGAGGUGGCGGCAACGAUGGAGGUGGUGGAGGCGGGCAGGGAGGCGGCGGAGAGGGAGGAGGUGGUGGCGGAGGUGGCGGAGGUGGCGGCGGCGGUGGAGGUGGAGGCGGAGGUGGAGGUGGAGGCGGAGGUGGAGGUGGAGGCGGAGGUGGAGGUGGAGGCGGAGGUGGAGGUGGAGGCGGAGGUGGAGGUGGAGGCGGAGGUGGAGGUGGAGGCGGAGGUGGAGGUGGAGGCGGAGGUGGAGGUGGAGGCGGAGGUGGAGGUGGAGGCGGAGGUGGAGGUGGAGGCGGAGGUGGAGGUGGAGGCGGAGGUGGAGGUGGAGGCGGAGGUGGAGGUGGAGGCGGAGGUGGAGGUGGAGGCGGAGGUGGAGGUGGAGGCGGAGGUGGAGGUGGAGGCGGAGGUGGAGGUGGAGGCGGAGGUGGAGGUGGAGGCGGAGGUGGAGGUGGAGGCGGAGGUGGAGGUGGAGGCGGAGGUGGAGGUGGAGGCGGAGGUGGAGGUGGAGGCGGAGGUGGAGGUGGAGGCGGAGGUGGAGGUGGAGGCGGAGGUGGAGGUGGAGGCGGAGGUGGAGGUGGAGGCGGAGGUGGAGGUGGAGGCGGAGGUGGAGGUGGAGGCGGAGGUGGAGGUGGAGGCGGAGGUGGAGGUGGAGGCGGAGGUGGAGGUGGAGGCGGAGGUGGAGGCAUGCAACCAAAGGAGCUACAAUGAACAGGGUAAAUCUUGCAUUCACCGGGAUUCC